AUACAUACUUGGCAAGGGAGGUACCAUAAUCAUGAAGAUGGAUUUCCUGGGAUGAGGCUCGUGUGUCCCUGCAGUUUCCCCAAAUGCUGUUGACUUGACUGCAGAAUCUGUGGCAGUGGUAGACUGCACUUGCACUUCCCCU
rnacentral:snRNA from 1 species